rnacentral:snRNA from 2 species
GUCCCUUCGGGGACAUCCGAUAAAAUUGGAACGAUACAGAGAAGAUUUGCAUGGCCCCUGAGCAAGGAUGACACACACAAAUCGAGAAAUGGUCCAAAUUUUA